rnacentral:rRNA from 1 species
GACGAACGCUGGCGGCGUGCCUAACACAUGCAAGUCAGGGAGAAAGAGGUAGCAAUAUCUCGAGUAAACCGGCGAACGGGUGAGUAACACGUAGGUAACCUGCCCUCGAGUUGGGAAUAACUUCGAGAAAUCGAGGCUAAUACCGGAUAAUGCAACGAACCCGCAUGGGUUUGUCGUUAAAGUUCCGCGCAAGCGGAACGCUUGAGGAUGGACCUGCGGCCGAUUAGCUAGUUGGCGGAGUAACAGCCCACCAAGGCGACGAUCGGUAGCCGACCUGAGAGGGUGACCGGCCACACUGGGACUGAGAUACGGCCCAGACUCCUACGGGAGGCAGCAGUGAGGAAUAUUGGUCAAUGGCCGAAAGGCUGAACCAGCAACGCCGCGUGAGGGAUGAAGAUCUAAGGAU